rnacentral:rRNA from 1 species
GAUGAACGCUGGCGGCGUGCCUAAUACAUGCAAGUCGAGCGAACGGACGAGAAGCUUGCUUUUCUGAUGUUAGCGGCGGACGGGUGAGUAACACGUGGAUAACCUACAUAUAAGACUGGGAUAACUUCGGGAAACCGGAGCUAAUACCGGAUAAUAUUUUGAACCGCAUGGUUCAAAAGUGAAAGACGGUCUUGCUGGCACUUAUAGAUGGAUCCGCGCUGCAUUAGCUAGUUGGUAAGGUAACGGCUUACCAAGGCAACGAUGCAUAGCCGACCUGAGAGGUUGAUCGGCCCCACUGGAACUGAGACACGGUCCAGACUCCUACGGGAGGCAGCAGUAGGGAAUCUUCCGCAAUGGGCGAAAGCCUGACGGAGCAACGCCGCGUGAGUGAUGAAGGUCUUCGGAUCGUAAAACUCUGUUAUUAGGGAAGAACAUAUGUGUAAGUAACUGUGCACAUCUUGACGGUACCUAAUCAGAAAGCCACGGCUAACUACGUG